AGUGCACGAAGACGCUGUCGGGAGAGCCCAGGAUUCAACACGGGCCUUGAGAAAUGUGGCUCUUGUACCUCCUGGUGCCGGCCCUGUUCUGCAGGGCAGGAGGCUCCAUUCCCAUCCCUCAGAAGUUAUUUGGGGAGGUGACUUCCCCUCUGUUCCCCAAGCCUUACCCCAACAACUUUGAAACAACCACUGUGAUCACAGUCCCCACGGGAUACAGGGUGAAGCUCGUCUUCCAGCAGUUUGACCUGGAGCCUUCUGAAGGCUGCUUCUAUGAUUAUGUCAAGAUCUCUGCUGAUAAGAAAAGCCUGGGGAGGUUCUGUGGGCAACUGGGUUCUCCACUGGGCAACCCCCCGGGAAAGAAGGAAUUUAUGUCCCAAGGGAACAAGAUGCUGCUGACCUUCCACACAGACUUCUCCAACGAGGAGAAUGGGACCAUCAUGUUCUACAAGGGCUUCCUGGCCUACUACCAAGCUGUGGGUGAGUAGCCCCCCAGGGAUCCCUUUUCUCUGACCUCAGCCAUAUUGAAUGGGGGCCAAGAAAGAGAAUCUUGAAUGCAAAGAAGCCGAAAGCUGGCUUUCCUUGUUCCUCCCCUCGA
rnacentral:sRNA from 1 species